rnacentral:rRNA from 1 species
AGCGAACGCUGGCGGUAUGCUUAACACAUGCAAGUCGAGCGAGAAAAUGGCUUCGGCCAUGAGUACAGCGGCGGACGGGUGAGUAAUACAUGGAUAAUCUGCCUUUGGGACUGGGACAACCCUGGGAAACUAGGGCUAAUACCGGAUAAGACUACAGAAUCUGCGGAUUCAGUGGUAAAAGGUGGCUUCGGCUAUCACCUAUAGAUGAGUCCAUGUCCCAUCAGGUAGUUGGUGAGGUAACGGCUCACAAAGCCUAAGACGGGUAGCCGACCUUAGCGGGUGAUCGGCCACACGGGGACUGAGACACGGCCCCG